rnacentral:rRNA from 1 species
UACAGAGGUGGCAAGCGUUGUUCGGAAUUACUGGGCGUAAAGGGCGCGUAGGCGGCCUUCUAAGUCAGACGUGAAAUCCCCCGGCUUAACCUGGGAACUGCGUCUGAUACUGGGAGGCUUGAGUAUGGGAGAGGGAUGUAGAAUUCCAGGUGUAGCGGUGAAAUGCGUAGAUAUCUGGAGGAACACCGGUGGCGAAGGCGGCAUCCUGGACCGACACUGACGCUGAGGCGCGAAAGCUAGGGUAGCAAACGGG